CCUACGGGGGGCAGCAGUGAGGAAUAUUGGUCAAUGGGCGCAAGCCUGAACCAGCCAAGUCGCGUGAGGGAUGACGGUCCUAUGGAUUGUAAACCUCUUUUGUCGGGGAGCAAGGCCCGCCACGUGUGGCGGGAAGGAGAGUACCCGAAGAAAAAGCAUCGGCUAACUCCGUGCCAGCAGCCGCGGUAAUACGGAGGAUGCGAGCGUUAUCCGGAUUUAUUGGGUUUAAAGGGUGCGUAGGCGGAAGGUUAAGUCAGCGGUCAAAUGUCGGUGCUCAACACCGGCCUGCAGUUGAAACUGGCAGUCUUGAGUACAGUAGAGGUGGGCGGAAUUCGUGGUGUAGCGGUGAAAUGCUUAGAUAUCACGAAGAACUCCGAUUGCGAAGGCAGCUCACUGGACUGCAACUGACACUGAGGCUCGAAAGUGUGGGUAUCAAACAGGAUUAGAUACCCGGGUAGUC
rnacentral:rRNA from 1 species